GGCUUGUCCAAGUGCAGUUGUGUUUACAAUAAUUUAUCACAACCAGUUACAGAUUUCUUUGUUUCCCCUUCACUCUCAUGGCUUCUCUUGACUAGCCUUAG
rnacentral:Y_RNA from 1 species